rnacentral:rRNA from 1 species
AUAAUAGCAAAGAGGAUACACCUGUUCCCAUUCCGAACACAGAAGUUAAGCUCUUUAGCGCUGAUGGUACUUGGUGGGAAACUGCCUGGGAGAGUAGGACGUA